UGGGGAAUAUUGCACAAUGGACGGAAGUUUGAUGCAGCGACGCCGCGUGGAGGGUGUAGGCCUUCGGGUUGUGAACUCCUUUUUCUCCCGAAAAAGGCACAGUUUUGGCUGUGUUGAUGGUAGUGGGGGACGAAGCGCCGGCCCACUGCGUGCCAGCAGCCGCGGUAAUCCGUAGGGCGCGUGCGUUGUCCGGAUUUAUUGGGCGUAAAGAGCUCGUAGGUGGUUCGUCGCGUCUGUCGUGAAAGCCAGCAGCUUAACUGUUGGUCUGCGGUGGGUACGGGCGGGCGUGAGUGCGGUAGGGGUGACUGGAACUGCUGGUGUAGCGGUGGAGUGCGCAGAUAUCAGGAGGAACACCGAUGGCAAAGGCAGGUCACUGGGCCGUUACUGACACUGAGGAGCGAAAGCGUGGGGAGCGAACAGG
rnacentral:rRNA from 1 species